GGCUGGAACUGACACACGGUCCAGACUCCUACGGGAGGCAGCAGUGAGGAAUUUUGCCCAAUGGGGGAAACCCUGAGGCAGCAACGCCGCGUGAGUGAUGAAGGCUUUCGGGUCGUAAAGCUCUGUCAAGUGGGAAGAAUAUGCAAAAUACUAAUACUAUUUUGCACUGACGGUACCACUGAAGGAAGCACCGGCUAACUCCGUGCCAGCAGCCGCGGUAAUACGGGGGGUGCAAGCGUUAUUCGGAAUUAUUGGGCGUAAAGGGCGCGUAGGCGGCCUCUUAAGUCAGAUGUGAAAGCCCGAGGCUUAACCUCGGAAGUGCAUUUGAAACUAAGGGGCUUGAGUAUGGGAGAGGGAAGUGGAAUUCCUGGUGUAGAGGUGAAAUUCGUAGAUAUCAGGAGGAACACCGGUGGCGAAGGCGACUUCCUGGACCAAUACUGACGCUGAGGCGCGAAGGCAAACAGGAUUAGAUACCCUGGUAGUCCACGCAGUAAACGUUGAACACUAGGUGUAGCGGGUAUUGACCCCUGCUGUGCCGCAGUUAACGCAUUAAGUGUUCCGCCUGGGGAGUACGAUCGCAAGAUUAAAACUCAAAGGAAUUGACGGGGGCCCGCACAAGCGGUGGAGCAUGUGGUUUAAUUCGACGCUACGCGAAGAACCUUACCUGGAUUUGACAUCCCGAGAAGUCUUUCGAAAGUUAGAUGUGCCCCUCGGGGAACUCGGUGACAGGUGCUGCAUGGCUGUCGUCAGCUCGUGUCGUGAGAUGUUGGGUUAAGUCCCGCAACGAGCGCAACCCCUAUCUUUAGUUACCAUCAUUCAGUUGGGGACUCUAGAGAUACUGCCCCGGUUAACGGGGAGGAAGGUGGGGAUGACGUCAAGUCCUCAUGGCCCUUAUAUCCAGGGCUACACACGUGCUACAAUGGGCUGUACAAAGGGUUGCGAACCUGCGAAGGUAAGCUAAUCCCAUAAAGCAGUUCUCAGUUCGGAUUGGAGUCUGCAACUCGACUCCAUGAAGUUGGAAUCGCUAGUAAUCGUGGAUCAGCAUGCCACGGUGAAUACGUUCCCGGGCCUUGUACACACCGCCCGUCACACCAUGAGAGUUGGUUGUACCAGAAGUUGUUGGACCAACCCGUAAGGGGGGUAGGCACCUAAGGUAUGAUUGAUGAUUAGGGUGAAGUCGUAACAAGGUAGCCGUUGGGGAACCAGCGGCUG
rnacentral:rRNA from 1 species